rnacentral:rRNA from 1 species
UACGAAGGGGGCUAGCGUUGUUCGGAAUCACUGGGCGUAAAGGGCGCGUAGGCGGCCGAUCAAGUCGGGGGUGAAGCCUGUGGCUCAACCACAGAAUUGCCUUCGAUACUGUUUGGCUUGAGACCGGAAGAGGUUAGUGGAACUGCGAGUGUAGAGGUGAAAUUCGUAGAUAUUCGCAAGAACACCAGUGGCGAAGGCGGCUGACUGGUCCGGUUCUGACGCUGAGGCACGAAAGCGUGGGGAGCAAACAGGG